UACGGAGAGUGCAAACGUUGUUCGGAUUCACUGGGCGUAAAGGGCGCGUAGGCGGCGCAACAAGUCACUUGUGAAAUCUCCGGGCUUAACUCGGAGCGGCCAAGUGAUACUGUCGUGCUAGAGUGCGGAAGGGGCAACUGGAAUUCUCGGUGUAGCGGUGAAAUGCGUAGAUAUCGAGAGGAACACCUGCGGCGAAGGCGGGUUGCUGGGCCGACACUGACGCUGAGGCGCGAAAGCCAGGGGAGCGAACGGG
rnacentral:rRNA from 1 species